rnacentral:rRNA from 1 species
AUGGCUCGCGGCAGCCGCUCCGGGAGGAACGGCGGCGGCGGCGGGUGCGCGAGCUGCUGCCUGGGGUUCCUGCUCAAGUUCCUCGCCUUCCUCCAGGCCUUCGCCGCCGUCUCCGCCGUCCUCUACGCCGCCUCCAUCCUCUCCCGCUGGGCGCGGCACCACGAGCUGCACUUCGACCGCCUCCUCCCUGACCUCUGGUUCGCGUGCGCCGUCAUGGCCGCCGGCCUCCUCUACUGCGCCAUCCUCCUCGCGGGCUACGUCGCCGCCGAGGUCAACAGCGGGUGCUGCCUCUGCUUCUAUACCAUCCUGGCCAUGGCGAUGAUGCUGCUAGAAGCUGCCGUGGCCGGCCACCUCCUCCUCAACGAGCACUGGAUGCAGGAUCUGCCGUAUGACCGCACGAGAGAGCUCGAGAACCUCGUCUCCUUUGUCAACAACAACCUCGACCUCUGCAAAUGGGCUGCUCUCGCUACCGUCGCCACACAGGCGUUCUCGCUUUUCUUGGCAAUUACUCUACGAGCCAUGGUUUCGUCCACCAAUGCGGACUUUGACAGCGACGAAGAUUUUGUGGUCAUAAGGAGGCCGCUGCUUCUUGCCCAAGGUGCUCCAGCCUAUCUCCCUACCACGGCCGACCCUAGAGGUGCCCACCCUGGCCUAUGGAGCUCAUCGAUGAGGCAAAAGUAUGGAUUGAACUCCACAAGCGACUACACCUACAACACACUGGAUCAAAAUGCAGUACCACCACAGUGA